CAUUGAAAUGAUGAUAUCCUUUUCUGAAACAAUACAAUGUAGACUAAAAAAAUUCAGACUACAAUUAUCUGAUCAUUU
rfam:Gossypium raimondii chromosome 4, whole genome shotgun sequence.